CGGGCGUCCUCACAAAUUACCUGCAUUCAGAGAUUCAUACCGGCACAGGUCGGUGUGCGAAGUCCCUUUUGGGGCCUUAGCUCAGCUGGGAGAGCACCUGCUUUGCAAGCAGGGGGUCGUCGGUUCGAUCCCGACAGGCUCCACCAUAUUGAGUGAAAAGACUUCGGGUCUGUAGCUCAGGUGGUUAGAGCGCACCCCUGAUAAGGGUGAGGUCGGUAGUUCGAGUCUACCCAGACCCACCACUCUGAAUGUAGUGCACACUUAAGAAUUUAUAUGGAUCAGCGUUGAGGCUGAGACAUGUUCUUUUAUAACUUGUGACGUAGCGAGCGUUUGAGAUAUCUAUCUAAACGUGUCGUUGAGGCUAAGGCGGGGACUUCGAGUCCCUAAAUAAUUGAGUCGUAUGUUCGCGUUGGUGGCUUUGUACCCCACACAACACGGCAUGUAGCUCCGAGGCAACUUGGGGUUAUAUGGUCAAGCGAAUAAGCGCACACGGUGGAUGCCUAGGCGGUCAGAGGCGAUGAAGGACGUGGUAGCCUGCGAAAAGUGUCGGGGAGCUG
rnacentral:misc_RNA from 1 species